rnacentral:rRNA from 1 species
UACAGAGGGGGCAAGCGUUAUUCGGAAUGACUGGGCGUAAAGGGCGCGUAGGCGGAUUGUACAGUCAGGCGUGAAAUUCCCGGGCUCAACCUGGGGGCUGCGCUUGAGACGUGCGAUCUUGAGUGGGGAAGAGGGUCGUGGAAUUCCCAGUGUAGAGGUGAAAUUCGUAGAUAUUGGGAAGAACACCGGUGGCGAAGGCGGCGACCUGGUCCUUGACUGACGCUGAGGCGCGAAAGCGUGGGGAGCAAACAGG